CCUACGGGUGGCAGCAGUAGGGAAUAUUGCUCAAUGGGGGAAACCCUGAAGCAGCAACGCCGCGUGGAGGAUGACGGUUUUCGGAUUGUAAACUCCUUUUGUUAGAGAAGAUAAUGACGGUAUCUAACGAAUAAGCACCGGCUAACUCCGUGUCAGCCGCCGCGGUAAUACGGAGGAUGCGAGCGUUAACCGGAUUUACUGGGGUUAAAGGGGGCGUAGGCGGAAUAGCAAGUCAGCGGUAAAAUCGUGGGGCUAAACCUCGAUCCUGCGUUGAAACUGGGUUUCUAGAGUGUGCGAGAGGUAUGCGGAAUGCGUGGUGUAGCGGUGAAAUGCAUAGAUAUCACGCAGAACACUGAUUGCGAAGGCAGCAUACCGGUGCACAACUGACGCUGAAGCGCGAAAGCGUGGGUAUCGAACAGGAGUAGAUACCCCAGUAGUC
rnacentral:rRNA from 1 species